GUGCACGGCCAUAGCGGAGGGGCCCUACCCGGUCCCAUAUCGAACCCGGAAGUCAAGCCCUCCUGCGUCGAUUCGGUACUGUGGUGCGCAAGCCCACGGGAAAGAUUGUCGCUGUGCCAC
rnacentral:rRNA from 2 species